ACAACAGGAUGUUCGGGGUUUGCUAAUUUACGGAAAAAGUAAUCUCACUUCGUACCCCGAAAAUUUAACCACAUAUGUGAAAAUGUCACAGCUUCGAAACAAGCUAUCAUACAUAUCCAAGUUAACGAUAUGGACUGAGCUACAGGAAAAAACGUUACCAUUACCGCCUAUGUAAAAAAAAUUAAAGAUUUUGACCCAAAUUAGAAGCUCAAUUCCAGAGGUUGUCAGACUGAUUUAUGGAUGAUUUCACCUUGUACACCACUGAAAAUGAUGUUCCGGACAUACACAAUGUAUCAUUAUUUUUCAACCUGAGAUGGCAAACUAGAGGUUUUAAAAAGUCCUGAAUAACUGAAAUGGACAAAAAUACAAAGAUUUAUUCAGAAUAUUAUACCGAUGAAGAUCACAUAAAAAUAUUUGGAAAAAUCAGAAGUAUGGAUUACAAUAUGGGACAACAUCCCUAAUGCGCCUUGAAAUGAGGAACUCAAAAGUCACGUGUAAAGAAAAAAUCUCUGUGUAGUGAUAUUGGACAUGUUUCUAUUUUUAGCAAAUGACUGAACUUAAUUAUUUGUGGUGAUUAGGAAAGUAGAGGAACAUAGAAUAAAUGUGUAAAAACUAUGGAGCUAUUGAAUGUGUUCAAAGUAUUAAAUUUUCAAAGAA